rnacentral:rRNA from 1 species
CAAUAGCGUAUAUUAAAGUUGUUGCAGUUAAAAAGCUCGUAGUUGAAUUUUUGCUUGCCGCCGAUGUCGGAACUUCCGUACGUUCGGCGGCGUGCAUCCUUGGGUGGAACCUGUGUGGCAUUAGGUUGUCGUGCAGGGGAUGCUCAUCGUUUACUGUGAAAAAAUUAGAGUGUUCAAAGCAGGCUUACGCCGUUGAAUAUAUUAGCAUGGAAUAAUAAGAUAGGACCUUGGUACUAUUUUGUUGGUUUGCGCACCGAGGUAAUGAUUAACAGGGACAGUUGGGGGUAUUCGUAUUCCAUUGUCAGAGGUGAAAUUCUUGGAUUUCUGGAAGACGAACUACUGCGAAAGCAUUUGCCAAGGAUGUUUUCAUUAA